rnacentral:rRNA from 1 species
GACGAACGCUGGCGGCGUGCUUAACACAUGCAAGUCGAACGGAAAGGCCCUGCUUUUGUGGGGUGCUCGAGUGGCGAACGGGUGAGUAACACGUGAGUAACCUGCCCUUGACUUUGGGAUAACUUCAGGAAACUGGGGCUAAUACCGGAUAGGAGCUCCUGCUGCAUGGUGGGGGUUGGAAAGUUUCGGCGGUUGGGGAUGGACUCGCGGCUUAUCAGCUUGUUGGUGGGGUAGUGGCUUACCAAGGCUUUGACGGGUAGCCGGCCUGGGAGGGUGACCGGCCACAUUGGGACUGGGAGACGGCCCAGACGCCUACGGGGGGCAGCAGUGGGGAAUAUUGCACAAUGGGCGGAAGCCUGAUGCAGCAACGCCGCGUGCGGGAUGACGGCCUUCGGGUUGUAAACCGCUUUCGCCUGUGACGAAGCGUGAGUGACGGUAAUGGGUAAAGAAGCACCGGCUAACUACGU